GUGGCGACGGGUGAGUAACACGUGGGCAAUCUGCCCUUCACUCUGGGACAAGCCCUGGAAACGGGGUCUAAUACCGGAUAACACUCCUCCCUGCAUGGGGAGGGGUUAAAAGCUCCGGCGGUGAAGGAUGAGCCCGCGGCCUAUCAGCUUGUUGGUGGGGUAAUGGCCUACCAAGGCGACGACGGGUAGCCGGCCUGAGAGGGCGACCGGCCACACUGGGACUGAGACACGGCCCAGACUCCUACGGGAGGCAGCAGUGGGGAAUAUUGCACAAUGGGCGAAAGCCUGAUGCAGCGACGCCGCGUGAGGGAUGACGGCCUUCGGGUUGUAAACCUCUUUCAGCAGGGAAGAAGCGCAAGUGACGGUACCUGCAGAAGAAGCGCCGGCUAACUACGUGCCAGCAGCCGCGGUAAUACGUAGGGCGCAAGCGUUGUCCGGAAUUAUUGGGCGUAAAGAGCUCGUAGGCGGCUUGUCACGUCGGAUGUGAAAGCCCGGGGCUUAACCCCGGGUCUGCAUUCGAUACGGGCAGGCUAGAGUGUGGUAGGGGAGAUCGGAAUUCCUGGUGUAGCGGUGAAAUGCGCAGAUAUCAGGAGGAACACCGGUGGCGAAGGCGGAUCUCUGGGCCAUUACUGACGCUGAGGAGCGAAAGCGUGGGGAGCGAACAGGAUUAGAUACCCUGGUAGUCCACGCCGUAAACGUUGGGAACUAGGUGUUGGCGACAUUCCACGUCGUCGGUGCCGCAGCUAACGCAUUAAGUUCCCCGCCUGGGGAGUACGGCCGCAAGGCUAAAACUCAAAGGAAUUGACGGG
rnacentral:rRNA from 1 species